rnacentral:rRNA from 1 species
CCUACGGGCGGCAGCAGUGGGGGAUAUUGCACAAUGGGGGAAACCCUGAUGCAGCGACGCCGCGUGGGUGAAGAAGUAUUUCUGUAUGUAAAGCCCUUUCAGCAGGGAAGAAAGAAGACGGUACCUGACUAAUAAGCCCCGGCUAACUACGUGCCAGCAGCCGCGGUAAUACGUAGGGGGCGAGCGUUAUCCGGAUUCACAGGGGGUAAAGGGAGCGUAUACGGCCGUGCAAGCCAGGAGUGAAAUCCCGGGGCCCAACCCCGGGACUGCUCUUGGAACUGUGCGGUUGGAGUGAGGGGGGAGCAGGCGGAAUGCCGGGUGUAGCGGUGAAAUGCGUAGAUAUCAGGAGGAACACCGGAGGCGAAGGCGGCCUGCUGGACCGCGACUGACGUUGAGGCUCGAAAGCGUGGGGAGCGAACAGGAUUAGAUACCCUAGUAGUC